CUUUGGAGGAUAUAAUGAUCGACAAUGAGAGAACGGAGAAAAUAUGGGAGGUUAAGUUGCAAAAUAUCAGGAAAGAAGAUGUUAACCUGACAUUGUGGGGUGACACUGCAAAGACCUUUGAUUUCAAAGCUCUGGAACACUGCCACCACCAAUUUUGGGUGUUUUUACAAGCCUUAAAGUUAGACAAUUUAGAGGUAUGAAAUUUAUCAGUUCUAUUUUCAAUUGUUCAUAUUUAUUGUAUAAAAUAAUGAUUUAAUUGCUCAUCUAUAAACAACCAAGAAACAUUGUGCUAAACAACAGUAUUUCCACAAAGAUUUUCAUCAAUCCAGACAUUCCCGAGGCAACACCUUACAAAGCAAUGUCAGUUCCUAAAUUUCAAAUACUUUAAAAUAUUUUUUUCAUGUUUAAAUUGAGUAUGAGGGAAAAAAAUAUGGAUAUACCUGUUUACUAAUGAUAUGCAUAUAAAUAUGAAACUGUUAUUUCAAUUAAACACAUCUGGAAAUACAAUGUUUAUAUAUUUAUUUUAGUUUACAUGUUUCUAUAAUUAAAAAGGCUAUGAUCUAGCUUUUUUUGAGUGUAAGUUUGAUCAAAUAAUUUGCUACAACUACCUAAAAUUGUACAUUACAAAGUAGCAGACCUUUUUUAUAAUAUUGUGAACUUAUGCAAGCUAUGUGCAAACUUGGAAAGGUUUGUCAAGUUGAUUAGAAUUGUUUAAAAAUGGGUUGUUGCUGCUGUACAGUAGAUAAGGUGGAAUUUGUUUCCCUGUAAGGUCAAAAUAUUUGAUUUUAUAAACACAGGCCAUGAUUGUAUAUGCAUUACAUAAUGAUGCAAUAAAUCUAUAGAAGUAUGAAAAUUAUUCUUUCAAA